CUGGACAACAAUACUUUUAAAGGAAAGAAGGAGUGGGGUGAAGAGAAAAGGGUAGUGAAUGGUAGUGAAGAGAAAAAUGGUAGUGAAUAACACCCUGAGGAACAGCAUUGACUUGAGAUCUGGUGACUUCUGAGAAGUGUCACACUCCAAGGGCAAUGCUGGCACAGUCUCUUGCCAUCAAGGACAGCUUGAAGGACCUCACCUAAGGCUGCUGUUAAUAGAGUUCAAGCUUUAUAUGCUGAGCAUGAUACCAUGUAUUAUGGAAUAUCCCCUUGAUCACUUGGGGCCAGCUGCCCCAGCUGUGUGCCCUCCC